rnacentral:misc_RNA from 1 species
AAGUCGUAACAAGGUUUCCGUAGGUGAACCUGCGGAAGGAUCAUUAACACGUAUCCACGUACCAACCCCUCGUGCACCUGUUGUCGCCUCUCCCUGCUGUGACUGGUUGGAAACGUUCGGCUCGAUUGAGUGGGACUCGCCCGCAAGGCGCGAGUCGCGGCCGAACGAACAUUUGUGAGCGCUUUCUAACGGAAGCGCAUGCUUACAACUUGGAACAGUCAGGCUUGUUUCUUAGCGAGAGCGAGCUCCAUUCAAGCUCGCUCGCGUUAGGAGCCCACCUUCACAUCUGUCACCCCCUUUUUGCUAGUUGACUUUUUUUCUGUGUCGCUGUGCGAGAAUUUCGGUUCUUUGCGCGCUCACACGUUUGAUUAUUUGAACGUUAAAAAAACAACUCUUAGCAAUGGAUAUCUUGGUUCUC